GCGAUGCGCCCACAGGAUGAGGUCUCGCACAUAAUAUUUAUUUUCUUUGUCCCCCUUCCACUGCAUUGUGGCCUUCAGAUAAUUUCAAGAGCAUAUAUUUUUGCUGCUGCUGCCAGCGCACUUUGCUAGAGAAGCAUAUAAGGGAUAGAAAUAUCAAGCAUUCAAUUUAGAUUUCUUCUGGCAUACAAAAACAUCAAAGGGGUUUGAGACAGUGAAGGCAAGAAAUAUUUUAUAUAUUUUUUAUAGUUAAAAAUAUUGACUGCAGCAUAAUUAAUUAUAAAGUUUGCAAUUAAAAUGUAAGGCAAAAUUUAGGAUUUUAAUAUUAUGCCACUGCGUAAUUCCUGUGCAUGACUUGUCUUUAAAAAAAUCCUUAUGGGGAAACAAGUUGAUGGAUAAUUUUACUUUUCCCUAUACACACCUAUAAUUUUAUCAGAUAAGAUAUUACCAUUCAAGUGGCUCAGACUGUACUCUUUUGUGGUUGCGCAGCUUGAUAUAAGUGGCUUUUGUAUAAAUUUGAUCGCUACAAACAUAAAAAUAUAUUUAAACAUUUUAGGUCCUGCUGGUUCAGCAUCUUAUUAUAUUUGCAUGAUGAUUCUGUUCAUUCUUUGGGCAAUUGCGGGCUUGGUGGAUCUUUAUAUAGCCUAUGCCAGCUACUGGUGUCACUCGUACUGGAAGCGUAAGGGCGUUACAGAGAGGAAAACAAUAAGUCCCAGACCAGAUAUGAUCCAGCUGUUGAUUGACGAACGCAAGGCGCAAAUCCAGAAGUGCAAGGACGCCAACAAGCCUGUAGACUCAAACACAAUUAUGUCUGAUUUGGACAUCUUGGUGCAAGCCUUCACCUUCUUUCUGGCUGGAUUUGAAACGGUUUCCGCAUUAGCAUCAAUAAUCUCUGCAUUGUAAUAGCUGGGCAAGAGAAUGUGCAGAAAAAACUAAGGUUGGAAGUAGAUGUAGCGUUCGCCAAAACGAGGGGGGAAAGCUGACACAUGACGCCAUCCAGGGCCUGAAGUACCUUUUGACAUGGUUAUUGCAGAGGUGCAACUUGAUCCCUGUGGCGGCUUUUGGUGACCGAGUGUGCACCAAAGGACCUACAUUUGCCCGAAUUUGGCAUCACUUUCAAGGAUGGGGAUAUUGUAGGAAUUUCCUUCUACUCGUUCCAAGUGGACAAACGCUAUUAUGAGGACCCUGAGGAAUUUAUCCCUGAGCGUUUCAGUGAGGAACGUAAGGCCAAAGUGCCACCUUUUACUUACAUGCCCUUCGGCUCAGGACCUAGGAGCUGCAUAGGUAACCGGUUUGGUUUUCUAGAGGUGAAAAUCGCUUUGGCAUAUACCCUAGCCUUUCUCAAAUUGGAGCUGAACACGUCUGACCAGUACCCAAUUAGGUUGGACCGCAAGAAAUUGGACAAUGCACCAAUUAAAGGCUUCCUUCUUAAACUGAGAUCACGGGAGGAUCCAGUUGUGGACCCAGAAAGCUUAUAAAUAAAAUAGGUCUUAAGAGUUCAAAAUUGUUCGGUAAUUUAUUUUAAAUUAGGGUCAUUCCAUCCGCAGUAAGAUUUUAGUAAAAUUAUUGAGAUAAAUUACUGCUCAUCCUGUUUUAAUUUUAGUUGAUGUGCCAAAAAUUGGUUACAUUGCCU